CGUGCAGCUACCUUGGCAUUCUAGCUGUCGGUUCAUAUUCGGGUGGAACUGGCCGUUUGAACACUCUUGAGAACUGUAUUCUCAUAUCCGUAGCCCAUCACUUGACUUCUAGGUAUUCAUUUUUUGAGUCUUUGUAUAUUCUAGACAUUAACCCUGUCCUGUUCAGCUAGCAAGGUACUGCACGGUCCAAACUCGCCCUCCCGGGCGACCAGCUCAUAAUGACCUCCCGCCCUCAGUCUUAUCGCUCAUUUUUUUGUGGGGUGAGUGAGCAGGCCCCGUAGCACUAACUCCUGGAACCAGAGUAUGUGGAACCACAUGAGAGUGAGCUCGAAAACUGUAAAACAGUUGGUUUUACAUCUAUGAUACAUCUUUUAGUAUGUUUAAGAGCUAAUCCCAUCCAUUUGUAAUUUUGAUUGUAAACUUUGGAUAAGAUUUUUUCCAGAAGAAACACUGACAUUUGCUUUGUGAUUGAGUGAGUGUUCGCUGAGAGAACAGAUCAAUAAAGAUGCCAGUGGCCAAUGGCUGAGCAUGGGGUGGGAUCCUUAGAGUUGCGAAGGCUAGGAUGCACAAAGGAACAGAGGAGAAUCUGGGACGCAGGAGCUGCAGGAAAGAAAGCCAACCAGCCAUGUGAGAAUUUGGGAAAGAAGGAAGAGAAUACCAGAACAGGAAUAGUGUGCCCACUUCUCCUCCCCAAUCUGGGUAACAACUGGAUAUUAACCUUUAAUAAACAGCCGAUUGUCAAGAGUUUCUGAACCAAACUGUGUUUUCGACUGUGCAAAAGAACGUAAAUUCCAGGAACCAAACUCACGUCAUCGGUAUUGGCAACCAGUUCAUCUGCGCUGAGCACACCUGUAGGCCUCCUGCUCUGAGCCUUUAGCUGGCGCUGCAUGAUCUGGAACAUGGACACGUCUGCUUUCCCUUCAUAUCUUACAAGUUCCACAGUCAGGACAAGAUAAAAUCAACAUACAACCUUGAAUUUCAGACAAUAAUUAUUUUUUGCUACAUGACUAGAAUUUUUUAUAUUAUUAAAUAAUUCAGAAAUAUUAUACUUGAAUUAAAGUAAAAGCUUGCAUCGCAUGAGAAAAAAUCUUAUAUAUGGAUGGGGCACAUGACUUGGAGCAGCAGAGAGAGUGGGCGUGACUUCUGGACACCUUGAAGUGGAGGUUUUAUUACGUGGAAUAAGGCUGAACUGAAAAACAACAACAUGUCUGCCUGAGAGUAGUGGAGCUGUCAUUGUCUGAAGUUGGCGAGCAAGGCUAGAUCUGGGGUAAGGAAUCUUCUUGCUGUUCUCCCUGCACAGUUCCCACCCGCUUCUCUCAGUCUUAAAAUGAAUAAAAUGAAUAGACUGUCC
rnacentral:lncRNA from 1 species